rnacentral:misc_RNA from 1 species
GAUGAAGAACGCAGCGAAAUGCGAUAAGUAAUGUGAAUUGCAGAAUUCAGUGAAUCAUCGAAUCUUUGAACGCACAUUGCCCCCGCCAGUAUUCUGGCGGGCAUGCCUGUUCGAGCGUCAUUUCAACCCUCAAGACCCCUUCGGGGGACUUGGUGUUGGGGACCGGCACAGGGGCCUGCCUGCUUGUCUUGCAGCGCCCUCGCCGCCCCCGAAAUGAAUUGGCGGCCUCGUCGCGGCCUCCCCUGCGUAGUAGCACAAACCUCGCAACGGGAACGUGACGGCGGCCACUGCCGUAAAACAACCCAAUUUUAUUAGAGUUGACCUCGAAUCAGGUAGGAAUACCCGCUGAACUUAAGCAUAUCAAUAAGCGGAGGA